CCUGGGGCGUCUUCAACUAGAAUUUGGCUUUUGGUACGCCAUCACUCACACUGCUUCUUUCUUCUGUUCUGUUUUGAAUUGCAAUUUUUCUUGUGCUCCCACCCUAAGUUAGGCUUUUCUCCCAUAUAGGAGUCCAUGCUGCUUUAUAUCCACGGCUGGACUUAUCCAUGGGCUAAAUUGGCUGAAAUUAAUCAAAAUAGAGAGA